rnacentral:rRNA from 1 species
GUUAUAUGGUCAAGUGAAGAAGCGCAUACGGUGGAUGCCUUGGCAGUCAGAGGCGAUGAAAGACGUGGUAGCCUGCGAAAAGCUUCGGGGAGUCGGCAAACAGACUUUGAUCCGGAGAUGUCUGAAUGGGGGAACCCAGCCAUCAUAAGAUGGUUAUCUUACGCUGAAUACAUAGGCGUAAGAGGCGAACCAGGGGAACUGAAACAUCUAAGUACCCUGAGGAAAAGAAAUCAACCGAGAUUCCCUUAGUAGUGGCGAGCGAACGGGGACUAGCCCUUAAGUGGCUUUGAGAUUAGCGGAACGCUCUGGAAAGUGCGGCCAUAGUGGGUGAUAGCCCUGUACGCGAAAAUCUCUUAGUCAUGAAAUCGAGUAGGACGGAGCACGAGAAACUUUGUCUGAAUAUGGGGGGACCAUCCUCCAAGGCUAAAUACUACUGACUGACCGAUAGUGAACUAGUACCGUGAGGGAAAGGCGAAAAGAACCCCGGAGAGGGGAGUGAAAUAGAUCCUGAAACCGUAUGCGUACAAGCAGUGGGAGCCCACUUUGUUGGGUGACUGCGUACCUUUUGUAUAAUGGGUCAGCGACUUAUUUUCAGUGGCGAGCUUAACCGAAUAGGGGAGGCGUAGCGAAAGCGAGUCUUAAUAGGGCGUCUAGUCGCUGGGAAUAGACCCGAAACCGGGCGAUCUAUCCAUGGGCAGGUUGAAGGUUGGGUAACACUAACUGGAGGACCGAACCGACUACCGUUGAAAAGUUAGCGGAUGACCUGUGGAUCGGAGUGAAAGGCUAAUCAAGCUCGGAGAUAGCUGGUUCUCCUCGAAAGCUAUUUAGGUAGCGCCUCAUGUAUCACUGUAGGGGGUAGAGCACUGUUUCGGCUAGGGGGUCAUCCCGACUUACCAAACCGAUGCAAACUCCGAAUACCUACAAGUGCCGAGCAUGGGAGACACACGGCGGGUGCUAACGUCCGUCGUGAAAAGGGAAACAACCCAGACCGUCAGCUAAGGUCCCAAAGUUAUGGUUAAGUGGGAAACGAUGUGGGAAGGCUUAGACAGCUAGGAGGUUGGCUUAGAAGCAGCCACCCUUUAAAGAAAGCGUAAUAGCUCACUAGUCGAGUCGGCCUGCGCGGAAGAUGUAACGGGGCUCAAACCAUACACCGAAGCUACGGGUAUCACGCAAGUGAUGCGGUAGAGGAGCGUUCUGUAAGCCUGUGAAGGUGAGUUGAGAAGCUUGCUGGAGGUAUCAGAAGUGCGAAUGCUGACAUGAGUAACGACAAUGGGUGUGAAAAACACCCACGCCGAAAGACCAAGGUUUCCUGCGCAACGUUAAUCGACGCAGGGUUAGUCGGUCCCUAAGGCGAGGCUGAAAAGCGUAGUCGAUGGAAAACAGGUUAAUAUUCCUGUACUUCUGGUUAUUGCGAUGGAGGGACGGAGAAGGCUAGGCCAGCUUGGCGUUGGUUGUCCAAGUUUAAGGUGGUAGGCUG